UGGGGAAUAUUGGACAAUGGGCGCAAGCCUGAUCCAGCAAUGCCGCGUGUGUGAAGAAGGUCUUAGGAUUGUAAAGCACUUUCGACGGGGACGAUGAUGACGGUACCCGUAGAAGAAGCCCCGGCUAACUUCGUGCCAGCAGCCGCGGUAAUACGAAGGGGGCUAGCGUUGCUCGGAAUGACUGGGCGUAAAGGGCGCGUAGGCGGAGGUAUCAGUCAGAUGUGAAAUUCCUGGGCUUAACCUGGGGGCUGCAUUUGAGACGGUAUUUCUAGAGUGUGAAAGAGGGUCGUGGAAUUCCCAGUGUAGAGGUGAAAUUCGUAGAUAUUGGGAAGAACACCGGUGGCGAAGGCGGCGACCUGGUUCAUAACUGACGCUGAGGCGCGAAAGCGUGGGGAGCAAACAG
rnacentral:rRNA from 1 species